GAUAAACGCUAGAGGCAGGCUUAACACAUGCAAGUCGAGGGGCAGCAUAGAUUGUAGCAAUACAAUUGGUGGCGACCGGCGCACGGGUGCGUAACGGGUAUGCAACCUACCCGUCACAGGGGGAUAAUCCGGAGAAAUCUGGUCUAAUACCCCAUAACAUAUGGAUCGGCAUCGGUUCAUGUUGAAAUUUUCGGAGGUGACGGAUGGGCAUGCGUAGCAUUAGCUUGUUGGUGAGGUAACGGCUCACCAAGGCGACGAUGCUUAGGGGGACUGAGAGGUUUUCCCCCCACACUGGUACUGAGACACGGACCAGACUCCUACGGGAGGCAGCAGUGAGGAAUAUUGGUCAAUGGGCGCAAGCCUGAACCAGCCAUGCCGCGUGCAGGAUGACGGCUCUAUGAGUUGUAAACUGCUUUUGUACGAGGGUAAAGUGGGUUACGUGUAACCUUUUGAAAGUAUCGUACGAAUAAGGAUCGGCUAACUCCGUGCCAGCAGCCGCCGUAA
rnacentral:rRNA from 1 species